GAACGCUGCGGCAGGCCUAACACAUGCAAGUCGAACGGUAACAGGAAGCAGCUUGCUGCCUCGCUGACGAGUGGCGGACGGGUGAGUAAUGUCUGGGAAACUGCCUGAUGAGGGGGAUAACUACUGGAAACGGUAGCUAAUACCGCAUAACGUCGCAAGACCAAAGAGGGGGACCUUCGGGCCUCUUGCCAUCAGAUGUGCCCAGAUGGGAUUAGCUUGUUGGUGGGGUAACGGCUCACCAAGGCGACGAUCCCUAGCUGGUCUGAGAGGAUGACCAGCCACACUGGAACUGAGACACGGUCCAGACUCCUACGGGAGGCAGCAGUGGGGAAUAUUGCACAAUGGGCGCAAGCCUGAUGCAGCCAUGCCGCGUGUAUGAAGAAGGCCUUCGGGUUGUAAAGUACUUUCAGCGGGGAGGAAGGUGUUGUGGUUAAUAACCGCAGCAAUUGACGUUACCCGCAGAAGAAGCACCGGCUAACUCCGUGCCAGCCGCCGC
rnacentral:rRNA from 1 species